rnacentral:rRNA from 1 species
ACGGAGGGUGCGAGCGUUAUCCGGAAUUACUGGGUUUAAAGGGUGCGUAGGCGGCUUUGUAAGUCAGGAGUGAAAGUUUGCAGCUCAACUGUAAAAUUGCUUCUGAUACUGCAGAGCUGGAAUCAGGAUGAGGUCAGCGGAAUGUGGCAUGUAGCGGUGAAAUGCAUAGAUAUGCCAUAGAACACCAAUUGCGAAGGCAGCUGGCUAGACCUGUAUUGACGCUGAGGCACGAAAGCGUGGGGAGCGAACAGGAUUAGAUACCCUGGUAGUCCACGCCCUAAACGAUGCUUACUCGACGUAUGGCCCUUGUGGUUGUGCGUCCAAGGGAAACCGUUAAGUAAGCCACCUGGGGAGUACGACCGCAAGGUUG